UAGUACCUUCGGUGGUUCCUAUACCUGUUAUGCUCCUUGGACUAUUUACAAGUGGUAUUCAAGCUCUUAUUUUUGCAACUUUAGCCGCGGCUUAUAAGUCAUAACUGAUGCUCAUCAUUAGCUUUAGUGUGAAUUAUUGAGAGUUUUGAUUGGAGUGAUGCCGAUUAGAGAAGACGCAAAGAGAGGUGUUUAUGUAGAGAAUAUCAAAGAAGUAGAGGUCGCAAGUGCUCGAGAUGUUAUUCAGCAACUUGUCAGGUAUCUCCCAGUACAGAAUGUUGAUUAAUAUUUGCUAUAUUUUUCUUUUUAUUUUUAGUUGGCCUAUUUUUUUCCCCUUUUCAUUUGGCAUUGAUACUUUAUUAUUUUAAAAGUUGUAUACUUAUGAUGUCUCAAAUGGAUCAUUUUCAGUUGUGCCAUGCCUCCUUACCUAUUUAUCAGUUCUUCCACUUGGUUGAUGUGUUUAUUUUCAGUGGUCCCAAGCCUUUCGCAAUAUAUAUUUUGGAAUGUUAGUAUGUUUUCUCUGUUUCAAAUAAAUACUCAGUUUUAUCAACACGUAUUAUUGGAUCAACAUGAGUACAUUGGGCUCGAAGAAUCUUGGUGAACCAUGGGUUCCAGGAUAAUAUGAUUCCACUAAUUUUUUCCUUCUUGACUACUCUGAAAGCCAUUCUGGUCAUGCUUAUAGGGAGCAGUGAACAGAAAAGUGGCUGCCUCUAAUAUGAAUCUUGCAAGCAGCCAUUCUCAUAGUGUUUUCACUUGUGUCAUUGAAAGUAAGGUGGGUAUUUGAGUUCUUUCUGUUGUUUUGGGUUUUCUGUAUGAGAGGUAUCAAAAUGGGUUAUGGACAUGCAUGGAAAAAAAGACUCUUAACUGAAGUUUCAUUUGUAGUGGGAAUCCCAAGUUGUAACUCAGCACAGAUUUGCUUGGCUAGAUCUUGUUGAUCUGGCUGGAUCAGAGAGGUAAUACCAUUCCUAAAUUGUUCUGUUGUAAACUGGAGGGUUUUACAAUGGAAAAGAUAGAUACUGAAUGAAAAAAUUUCCCUUCUUUUGUCACACUUUUGGUUUUUCUAUAGCAGGAAGAAGAGUUCAGGUGCCGAAGGCGAACAUCUCAAGGAAGCCACAUCAACAGGUUACUUUCAACAUUAGGGCCUGUUACUAUAUCUAUAGUUCUGAGUGGAUAUCUAUAAAUGUCAACCUUCUCCAGCUCAUUCUUGUUCUUCUCAAUGUCUAAGAUGGUCCAUUCCAGUUCCCCCCACCCCUGAGAUGGUUAUUUGAGUAAUUGAGUUUGUUCCUCAUCUGCAGACUAGUGAUCAUGAACCUUGUUAGUAUUUCUAACGGGAAGUCUCUCCAUGUUCCUUAUCGCGAUUCAAAGUUUACAUUUUUGCUUCAGUUGAAGGUGUUCGAGCUCCGUUUGGGAGAAUCCAUUAUUAUGUGAUGUGGCUUGUUUACCUAUUUUCUUAAUGACAAGAAUACCCUUCAGGGUUAUGAUGUUCCUAUUAUACCCUUCUCCAUCGUUACCCUUUAAACCCCAAAUAACACAGAUCAUUUCAUACCUCUUCUUCUCCAUCGCUACCAACGAACCCUAAAUACUGCAAACAGAUGCAGUGAAGAGCACCAAGUGAAUCCUGCUCGCAUUAACAACCAUCGUAUGGCCAGGAGACAACCUUCAUCACUACGAUUGGUGGCAGCGACGGCGACGUCGGGAUACCCCUUUACAGUUCUGCAACUUAGGGAGUUUCGGUGGUGAACUAAAUUGCACAGUUGGUGUACUGCAACUAUGUUCUGUGAACCAGAGGGCAAAAAAAAGUGGAGCUUCGGUGGUGAACUGAAAUUUGAACAGUCCGACGAGUUCAAGCGACUAUGUGAGAACCCGGGAAACUAAGAAUCUAUUCAUUGGAGACACUAAGCACGCUAAAAUUUGCUCAACGUGCGAAAUUCAUCAAGAACAAUGCAAUUGAAAAUGAAGAUGUUUCUGGAGAUGUUCUUGCCUUGCAUAUGCAGAUUCAGCAACUCAAGGCAAAACAAAGAGAAGACGAGAUACAAAGUUUAAAAGUGAGGCUUCGUUUCCAUGAAGCAGGGAUAAAGAGGUUAGAGGCAGUUGCCUCUGGUAAGAUAUCAGCUGAAACACAUCUUUUGCAAGCGGAGGAGGAACAUCUAAAGGAGAGAGCGGUUCUUCACACCCAAGUUGACCAAAACCAAUAAGUGACAAGAUUUGUCAUGGAAAAUCUGCAACUAAAAGAA